CUACGUGCCAGCAGCCGCGGUAAUACGGAGGAUGCGAGCGUUAUCCGGAAUCAUUGGGUUUAAAGGGUCUGUAGGCGGGCAAAUAAGUCAGAGGUGAAAGCGCUUAGCUCAACUAAGCAACUGCCUUUGAAACUGUUAGUCUUGAAUUAUUGUGAAGUAGUUGGAAUGUGUAGUGUAGCGGUGAAAUGCUUAGAUAUUACACAGAACACCGAUAGCGAAGGCAUAUUACUAACGAUAUAUUGACGCUGAUGGACGAAAGCGUGGGGAGCGAACAGGAUUAGAUACCCUGGUAGUCCACGCUGUAAACGAUGGAUACUAGCUGUUUGGUUUUAUGACUGAGUGGCUAAGCGAAAGUGAUAAGUAUCCCACCUGGGGAGUACGUUCGCAAGAAUGAAACUCAAAGGAAUUGACGGGGGCCCGCACAAGCGGUGGAGCAUGUGGUUUAAUUCGAUGAUGCGCGAGGAACCUUACCAAGGUUUAA
rnacentral:rRNA from 1 species